ACUCCUACGGGAGGCAGCAGUGGGGAAUAUUGCACAAUGGGCGUAAGCCUGAUGCAGCAACGCCGCGUGAGGGACGACGGCCUUCGGGUUGUAAACCUCUUUUANUAGGGAAGAAGCGAAAGUGACGGUACCUGCAGAAAAAGCACCGGCUAACUACGUGCCAGCAGCCGCGGUAAUACGUAGGGUGCAAGCGUUAUCCGGAAUUAUUGGGCGUAAAGAGCUCGUAGGCGGUUUGUCGCGUCUGCUGUGAAAACUGGAGGCUCGACCUCCAGCCUGCAGUGGGUACGGGCAGACUAGAGUGCGGUAGGGGAGAUUGGAAUUCCUGGUGUAGCGGUGGAAUGCGCAGAUAUCAGGAGGAACACCGAUGGCGAAGGCAGAUCUCUGGGCCGUAACUGACGCUGAGGAGCGAAAGCAUGGGGAGCGAACAGGAUUAGAUACCCUGGUAGUCCAUGCCGUAAACGUUGGGAACUAGAUGUAGGGACCAUUCCACGGUUUCUGUGUCGCAGCUAACGCAUUAAGUUCCCCGCCUGGGGAGUACGGCCGCAAGGCUAAAACUCAAAGGAAUUGACGGGGGCCCGCACAAGCGGCGGAGCAUGCGGAUUAAUUCGAUGCAACGCGAAGAACCUUACCAAGGCUUGACAUAUACGGGAAAAGUUCAGAAAUGUUCUCCCCGCAAGGUCGGUAUACAGGUGGUGCAUGGUUGUCGUCAGCUCGUGUCGUGAGAUGUUGGGUUAAGUCCCGCAACGAGCGCAACCCUCGUUAUAUGUUGCCACGGNGUAAUGGUGGGAACUCAUAGGAGACUGCCGGGGUCAACUCGGA
rnacentral:rRNA from 1 species